rnacentral:SRP_RNA from 1 species
CCUACCAGUAGUUUCAGGUACUUAGAAGGCUGAGGUGGGAGUAUCACCUGAGCCUAGGAGUUCUGGGCUAUAGUGCACUAUGCCGAUUGAAUGCCUGCACUGAAUUUGGGAUCAGUAUGAUGACUUCCCGAGAGGAGUGGAAUACUAGGUGCCUAAAGAGGGAUAGACCGGCCUAGGUUAGAAACAAAGCAGGUCAAAAUCCCCAUGCUGAUCAGUUGUGGGAUUGCGCCUCUGAAUAGCCACUAUACUGCAGCCUCAGCAAUGUCGGAAGACCCUGUCUCU